CUGCCUUUGUUAAACACAGCCUUUUAAGAAGUGCAAUAUUAAAACAAAAGCCAUGAGUCUUCUAAGCCCAGUGUGUAAAGAUACACUCUGAGUUAUAACUCAAAGGCACAAUU
rnacentral:snoRNA from 1 species